rnacentral:rRNA from 1 species
UACGGAGGGUGCAAACGUUGCUCGGAAUCAUUGGGCGUAAAGCGCACGUAGGCGGCCUGAUAAGUCGGGUGUGAAAGCCCUGGGCUCAACCCGGGAACUGCGUCCGAUACUGGCAGGCUUGAAUCCGGGAGAGGGAUGCGGAAUUCCAGGUGUAGCGGUGAAAUGCGUAGAUAUCUGGAGGAACACCGGUGGCGAAGGCGGCAUCCUGGACCGGCAUUGACGCUGAGGUGCGAAAGCCAGGGGAGCAAACGGG